AUGCACGCUGGCGGCGUGCCUAAUACCUGCCAGUCGAGCGAACAGAUGAGGAGCUUGCUCCUCUGACGUUAGCGGCGGCCGGGUGAGUAACACGUGGAUAACCUACCUAUAAGACUGGGAUAACUUCGGGAAACCGGAGCUAAUACCGGAUAAUAUAUUGAACCGCAUGGUUCAAUAGUGAAAGACGGUUUUGCUGUCACUUAUAGAUGGAUCCGCGCCGCAUUAGCUAGUUGGUAAGGUAACGGCUUACCAAGGCAACGAUGCGUAGCCGACCUGAGAGGGUGAUCGGCCACACUGGAACUGAGACACGGUCCAGACUCCUACGGGAGGCAGCAGUAGGGAAUCUUCCGCAAUGGGCGAAAGCCUGACGGAGCAACGCCGCGUGAGUGAUGAAGGUCUUCGGAUCGUAAAACUCUGUUAUUAGGGAAGAACAAAUGUGUAAGUAACUAUGCACGUCUUGACGGUACCUAAUCAGAAAGCCACGGCUAACUACGUG
rnacentral:rRNA from 1 species